rnacentral:rRNA from 1 species
CCUACGGGUGGCAGCAGUGGGGAAUAUUGCACAAUGGGGGAAACCCUGAUGCAGCGACGCCGCGUGAGUGAAGAAGUAUUUCGGUAUGUUAAGCUCUAUCAGCAGGAACGAGACAAGACGGUACCUGACUAAGAAGCCCCGGCUAACUACGUGCCAGCAGCCGCGGUAAUACGUAGGGGGCAAGGGUUACCCGGAAUCACUGGGUGUAAAGGGAGCGUAGACGGGUGAGCAAGCCGGAAGUGAAAGGCGGGGGCCCAACCCCCGGACUGCUUUGGAAACUGAACGGUGGGAGUGCAGGAGAGGUAAGUGGAAUUCCUAGUGUAGCGGUGAAAUGCGUAGAUAUUAGGAGGAACACCAGUGGCGAAGGCGGCUUACUGGACCGUAACUGACGUUGAGGCUCGAAAGCGUGGGGAGCAAACAGGAUUAGAUACCCCUGUAGUC